rnacentral:rRNA from 1 species
GAUGAACGCUGGCGGCGUGCCUAAUACAUGCAAGUCGAGCGAACGGACGAGAAGCUUGCUUCUCUGAUGUUAGCGGCGGACGGGUGAGUAACACGUGGAUAACCUACCUAUAAGACUGGGAUAACUUCGGGAAACCGGAGCUAAUACCGGAUAAUAUUUUGAACCGCAUGGUUCAAAAGUGAAAGACGGUCUUGCUGUCACUUAUAGAUGGAUCCGCGCUGCAUUAGCUAGUUGGUAAGGUAACGGCUUACCAAGGCAACGAUGCAUAGCCGACCUGAGAGGGUGAUCGGCCACACUGGAACUGAGACACGGUCCAGACUCCUACGGGAGGCAGCAGUAGGGAAUCUUCCGCAAUGGGCGAAAGCCUGACGGAGCAACGCCGCGUGAGUGAUGAAGGUCUGCGGAUCGUAAAACUCUGUUAUUAGGAAAGAACAUAUGUGUAAGUAACUGUGCACAUCUUGACGGUACCUAACCAGAAAGCCACGGCUAACUACGU